CUCUCUCUUUCGCUCCUCUCUAUGUGAGUGCACUAGGUGGAUGACAAUCAAAUGACUCAUUGAGCAGCUGGAGAGGCCGACCCCCGGCGAGGGCUUAACUACGGAAAGUGAGCAUGAUCAUGUCACACUUCACAAUGCUCGUUGGCUGUAGCCGUGGCAGCGGGAGGAACGGGGAGGGGCUACCUUAAAGAGACAGUGACACGGCUGCAGCUGGACCACUGCUUCAUGCUGCCGAACUUCCAGCUUGCUAGCAAACGUAUGCGAAAGUGUCAUAUCCACACUUGGCUACUGACCAGUGGAAGCAUCAUAUCGCAUCUGAAGUCACUCCAGAUGUUCCCGCUCUGGCUCGUCGCAACCUGCACAUCUGUUUAAAGCAAACCGCAUAUCCAGGAUUGAAAUCCCCACAAGACAAGCAGAGACUGACGGAUCUUAAGCAAAGUUCACACUGUGUGCGCCGUGAGAUGCACCGAGCCCACCCAAAACUGUCAAAACGACAAACAGUACAUCUCCCCCCACAAGCCGAGCCCUGAUAUCGCAGCCGGUGUCAUUGCAAAUGGACGACAUCUUCUGUGCGUGCCUGAUAAGGGCACUCACCUCACAGUGACCCGAUUCGAUGUACACACGCACACUCUCGCAAAUAUAACAUGAGCGUAUACAAACACACACACGCACACACAUAUCUGACGCAGAUACGCAAAGACACACACAGAAUCUCUCUUUCUGUCUCGUUCCCAUCUCGUUGCUUAGACGUGCAUGUCUCUGGCAGAUGUACAAUGUCACAACCGGGGAAGAGAAAAAAAAGUUGUGUUCUCAGGCAGACGCAUGCCUGCCAAUCACAUUUCACCAUGUCCAACCCUGUCACAAAGCCUGUCAUUCAAACCUCACAUCACACAGCCAUCCAUAGGGUUACCUUUCCUCUGUCAUUCUGUCAAUCACAACGCGUGGAGCCGAGGCACGAUCGGACAAGAGCACGAAUUUGCAAACCCCAUGAGUAAAGGAAACUCUCCGCAAAGCUAAAAGGCCUCCAGUCCUGCAAAUUAGUUGACUGACAGCUCAUGAUUGUCCUUCCUCAGCAGUGACACGUUGGAAUACUCCUAAACUACCAUCGGCUCGUCUUCAUUGGGCUUAGCUUUUUCUCAUCUUCACUCAUUCGUCUCCCCCCCCACUCACUCACUAUGCACUUUUUUACCCUGCAUGCGUGUGUCAAAACGUCAAUUUUGGCACGACAGGAUGUGACAAGGCCCGUUGCCCAGGGGGACGGCUGGAAUAGAGGGCUGCGCAAAUUGAUUUUGAUUUCAUUCCAAAUCAUUCAAAGUGUUUAGUUCUAAUGGGAGCUGAUCAGAGCGCAGUUCGGAGCACGGCACCGGGUCUAGAGAUUAGUUCUGUCAUUCGGGCGAUCAGGGCCUGUCGGGUCCGUUCCCUCACAGAGCCACGUCACAUCACGGGCCCCGUCAGCUGGGCUCCAUCUAAAGCCUACGGUUUACAUAACGGACACAGAGCAACACGAGCGAUACCAUCUACCUCACACGAGAGGUGCAGAGAUCCACCCACCGGCGUCCAAAGCUGUCACUAGCAUAUGCUAAUGCGACAAGAUUGAGGAAGAGAGCCGUUGCUACAAGCACUGUAUGCAAACAGGCUGCUGGGACUGGGGAAAAAGAGAGAGAAUUCUUUCAGUGGAUGGAAAACAGAGUGGAAGGUUCGGAUGAUUUGAACGUUUUGUGGAGCUUGACUGCAAUUUGCACUUUGUGCUCUUCAAUUGUCUGUUUUUUAAGACACGUCGGAGAGACUGAGGCUAGUUGUCAUGUUUUUACUCUAGUGAAUAUCUUUGAAAGUCAGUUUCUGUAUAGGCACACACCUUAUCUUGGCUACAAAAAAUAUUGAACAUGUUAUUGCCCAGAAAGAAAACACAUUAUAUUAGGGCAUGGUGUGUCACACUAUGAUGUCACAAAGCAAUGAAACCAUAAAGAUCGUGUAUCACAGGCAGUUUCUGCCAAUCUCAUAUUCAUCUUGAGUGCCUAUACAGUAGUAUUGCAUAAGUCGUAUCUUGAGUAUUUAGUUUGAUCAAAUUUAUAAAAGAAUUUUUCCGGAAGAUUAUUUCCGGAAAAACACGAGCUGCUAGAGGUGGGACUAGUGGGGAGAGUGGGAUGGAACUACAGCACGAGCAAGCAACACAUCAUCACAUUAAUCCCUUCGUGUUUUGUACAUUAUGCACGUACACGCCGAUUGACAACAAAACACAGACGUAUGACUUAGUUUGACUUACUGCGUGCAGUUCAUGUCCAGCAUCUAAUUAUUAAAAUCUUUCCAAAACAAGUUGGAGUGCCGGGGGAGUGUAUCAGAAAUACUACGUCAUAUGUCCAACUCGUUUUUUAACAAGUUGACCAUGUUAAGCAUGAGAAGCCGGCACGUUUAACAGUGUAAAGAAGUCAGAAUGCAUGACAAAGCAUGAUACCCGAUCUUUAAAUAGCCCACUGUAGAUUUUAAGUCAAAUUUAA